CAGAGAUAUCACCGUCGGCCAGUUUGAGGACCUGCUUUCCCUCAUCGGUCCCAGCAUCGCCCGCCUAGACACCAAUUACAGGCGCUCAAUCCCACCUGCAGAGCGCCUGUCCGUCUGCCUGAGGUGGAGGCCGCCCAUUGGUGGAGGAAGGAAGGAGGCCAGCUACAAAAGGGGUUGGACUGGGCCGGUGAGGAGACUUUUCCUGGUUCCCCGUGAGCUGUGUGACUGGGGACCGUCGUGGUGUGUGACUGCACGGGGCUGCAAUAUUAAUGUUGAAAAAGGGGUUGUACCUGGGCUUGGUAGCUGUAGGGGUGGGAAGCCGUUUUCUUUUAUUCCCCUCUUUUUUCCUGUUUCGGGUAGGGAGACAGGUUAGAGAAUUGUAUUUUGUUUUGGAAUCGUGGGAGGUAAGUUAGCUCUGUUUUUCUUUCUAGUGUGUUUUGUUUGUUGUUUUGGCAUCGCCCACCCUGAAGCUCGCUACCUGUUCAGUGAAUAAAUUAACCAACUCUCGUCAUUCUGCCGUGGUGUGUUUUUUUUUUUGUCGUUAUUAUGUAUCGGGUUUAUCUUUUUGUUGUGUUGCACCCCGGCUUCGGGCCGGUGUGUAACACUUAACUUCCCUUUUUCAUUGUAAAAUCAAUGCAAUCACCAUAUAAAGACAGAAUUUAACAAAUCUGUCUUCCAAAAUCAUGCUUCUUUAGACAUAAUAUUUGUUAAUAUGGAGCCCUGGGUGUUAACUGACCUGAUACAGUACAUAGUAGGCAUAUCACAGUUAUAUUAACAUCAUAUAUAUUUACGUGAAAAAGCGUGGCUUAAGAACAAUUUUCAGCAAGGUUGGGUAUUUGACUUUGCAAUACACAGCAUGGCACAGUUCUCCAC
ensembl:lncRNA